rnacentral:rRNA from 1 species
UACAGAGGGUGCGAGCGUUGUCCGGAAUCACUGGGCGUAAAGGGCGCGUAGGUGGCCCGACAAGUCAAUGGUGAAAGUUCGACGCUUAACGUCGAAUCGGCCACUGAUACUGUUGGGCUGGAGCACUGUAGAGGCUCAUGGAAUUCCGGGUGUAGCGGUGGAAUGCGUAGAGAUCCGGAAGAACACCGGUGGCGAAGGCGGUGAGCUGGGCAGUUGCUGACACUGAGGCGCGACAGCGUGGGGAGCAAAAGGG